rnacentral:tRNA from 1 species
GCUUCAUUAGCGCAGUUGGUAGCGCAACUGAUUCGUAAUCAGUAGGUCGGCAGUUCGAGUCUGCCAUGGAGCU